ensembl:lncRNA PDE7B-AS1 PDE7B antisense RNA 1
UGAUGUUUGAUCUGAGAGCUGGUAAAUGAACAGGAGUUAAUUUAAGGACAAACUUGCCAAAUACUGCAAGAAAAGAUGUUGCUGAUCACGGAUAGGAAAUACUCCAAGUCCCAGGAGAUAGUCUGUUCUUAGGAGACUUCCACACCAAGUCUGCUGAC